GGCUCAGGACGAACGCUGGCGGCGCGCCUAACACAUGCAAGUCGAACGAGAGAGAAGGAGCUUGCUUCUUCGAUCGAGUGGCGAACGGGUGAGUAACGCGUGAGGAACCUGCCUCAAAGAGGGGGACAACAGUUGGAAACGACUGCUAAUACCGCAUAAGCCCACGGGUCGGCAUCGACCUGAGGGAAAAGGAGUGAUCCGCUUUGAGAUGGCCUCGCGUCCGAUUAGCUAGUUGGUGAGGUAACGGCCCACCAAGGCGACGAUCGGUAGCCGGACUGAGAGGUUGAACGGCCACAUUGGGACUGAGACACGGCCCAGACUCCUACGGGAGGCAGCAGUAGG
rnacentral:rRNA from 1 species